CAACUACUCCCUCUGUCCCAAAUUUCUUGUCUUAGAUUUUUCUAGAUACGGAUGUAUCUAAUACUAAAAUGUGACUUGAUACAUCCAUAUCUAGACAAAUCUAAGACAAGAAUUUUGGGACGGAGGGAUUACUUU
rnacentral:pre_miRNA from 1 species